rnacentral:miRNA from 1 species
UACACGUAAGCUGGUUUAGCUCA